UCAUCUUUUUUUUUUUUCUUUUAGUCAUCUUCUUCGAUAAAAGGGUUUCUGCAAUUAGCUAGCUGACUACUUGAUUAAAAGGAGGGAAGUUUACUUCCUGACCUCACAACGACCCGUGUGCGUUACGCAUUAUCCAAUAAAAAUUUGGAGUUGUCCCGGAGGACAGCUGUGAUUGGCAACCAUGAACAUGAGCGGUAGGAAAUGAAUGGAUUGAAAUACAUGAGAAUGUUUUAUAUUUUUAACGUUAUUAUUUUUUUUUAAUUAAAGAUUUGUCUGCGAGCCAGAUGCAGCCAUCAAAAGAGCCACAUCUGGCUCGCGAGCCAUAGGUUCCCGACCCCUGCUCUAAACAGUAAAACGAAAUCCGAAAGUCGGGUUAUGGCGGAGUGUAGUUUUUUUUGACUGCACUAAUAGUUCGUAAACACCACACAGGAAGUAGGAAAAGAACUACAUUUCCCAUCUGCCCUGGCUGUCACAGACUAAUAGCACCAGCUGCUUUCCAUUGCCCUAAGGAGUGAUUCUACUGCUGCAACGAGACCAAAUACAACGAAAGUAUUGAUGCUGUAAAAGAAGACGGAUCUUUUGGUAGGCUGGUUAAUGAUGACCACAAGCACCCAAAUGGCAGAAUGCAGAAGACUGAAGUGGAUGGAAGCCCACAUCUUGGUCUGUUUGCUUUAACAGACUUUAAAGAAGGUGAUGAAUUACCUGCAAUUACGGAGGAGGAGUCUGGCCUUGGUGUAGCAAGAUUUUCCAAAUGUCUAUUAAAUAUGCAGAUUAUGGAGGGGGACACUGCUGAGAGCAAUGGCCAGGAGAAACAGCAGCCAUCACAGUCUACACCUUUUCUGGAUCAUAAAUAUUAGAAUUGUGUAGUUUGCUGGCACUUUUAAUCCUGCCUUUCAAUCACACCUCUCCAUAAAGCUUCAGUGUGCUACCCAUUUACAUGUUUAGGCUGCCUGGAAUCAAAAUUAGCUACCUCAACAUACAUUAUUAAGUUGUUACUGUCACUUUUUAGCUUAGUCAGUUAAGUGGAUAUAGAAUUGUGUUUAUGACAUUUGGUUGUGUGUCUGUGUUUGGCUAGUAUCUUUAUUUUUCUCAAUAUGUUUAACUUUGAGCUGGCUAUAUGUAGUAAGCACAAGUGUUAUGUCAAACUUAAAUGAGUCCAAGUUCAUUCAUGGCACAUGUGAGCUUAGUAGUUGUGCACUUUAAUGGGCAAAUAUUUGUUGUCUUUUACAGUAAAGAAGCUCAAGACUCAAGUUGUCUUUAUAAUGUUGAAUAGACAAGGUUUUUUCAUCUUACUGACAAUUUUUCACUUGAUUAGAGAUCCAGACCAAUAAACAAAUCCUUCAUGCAGCUAAAAUAUCAAAAGGAUGAGUUUCUUUGUCAUUUUGACUUGCCAAAAUGACUGGGGAUAGUGUUAAUUUGUGAUGCAUGCCUGUGAUAAAUAAGUGAGGUUCAGUACAGCAAGCACCUCUACUUUCUAUUCCACAAAAAAAAUUGUAUACUUUGGAGCAGGAAAUGAAAAGCUUCUUAGAAUUAUAGCCUCAAAACUAAUAAUAGCACUGGUAACACCUUCCUUAACAAGUUCCUAGGUUUCUCAAAAGGUUCCUCUGUUGGAAAUAGAAAGCUCCAAAGAAAUGUAGUCUGUUAUCUAUUACGUGCAGAUAUUGAAAUUUGUGUAAGAGAGCUUUUUGAAACCAAACUUUCACUGAUUGCAUAUUUCACAAAUAAGGCUAAGAGUCCUUCGUAUAAACAAUUAAGAACAACUGUUCAAUUUAAUUUCAUGAGAAGCUUAAACCUUCAAAUAGAGAAAAUACACAUCAUAUCUGCUUUACAGACAGCUCUCUAAAUUAGACAUACUUAGUUUGUAAUUUUGUAUAAAUAAUUAGAGUUAAAUUGACAACUUUGUUUUUUAAAACCAUGUCCCCUUGUUGAACUACCUGAUCUGUGUGUAUGCAGAUUAACUAUGUAGUGAUGUCCCCUCUACAACAUGAAAACCAGUUAAUUUUCUGUGUAUGAAAAUUAGCUAUCUAGUGAUGUCCCCACUACAACAUGAAAACCAGUUAAUUUGCUGUGCAUGCAAAUUAGGUCCCCAUUAAUGAUGAGUUCUUGUUAUGUCCACAUUAGGUGUGAAAAAACCAAGCACAGAAAUUUGGUGAUUUAAAUCCAGAAUUUGAGAUGAUAUGUGUUCUCAGGCUUAAAUUAUACAUGCCUGAUUUUUUUUCACAUCUGUAGGACCUCAGGAAAGUGGUGUCCCCACAAUACAUGGGUGGGACUACUGACCCCAGAAUGUUAUAAUUACAAGAAUGUCUGUGUGUGUGUGUGUGUGUGUGUGUGUGUGUGUGUGUGUGUGUUAAAGGUACAGGAGCAGUCUGGCUGUGCAGCUACAGUAAAUGUUAAUAAUAAUAAUAGGACGUUAUUUAAAAGCUCAUACAGCUGAUGUUAUUUUUAUUUAGUAGUUAAUUUAACAUGCUAUGCUAACAUGUAAACAAUAAGAUGAUAUUACCUGACGUCCAUUUUACACUCAAUAUUGUCUGUUUCUGUUCUAUUUCACCAACAAGAAUAUUUCCAAACAAAGCCACAGCAGGUCCUGCUCCUUUUUCCUCCUAAUUCCCUCAUUUCUCCACGUUGGGAUUAAUAAAGUAUUAUCGUAUCUCAUCUUUUGUUCAAAUGGGAGAUUUCUUAUUUAUUUUAUUUAUUUUGUUUAUUUUUAAAUAGGAGACUUUUUAAUACUUUUAUUAAAAAAUGGCUUCAUGUUUCAAUUAUAAUGAA